rnacentral:rRNA from 1 species
CUGCUGCCUCCCGUAGGAGUCUGGGCCGUGUCUCAGUCCCAAUGUGGCCGGCCAACCUCUCAGUCCGGCUACUGAUCGUCGCCUUGGUGAGCCGUUACCUCACCAACUAGCUAAUCAGACGCGAGUCCAUCUCAGAGCGAUAAAUCUUUGGCAGUCAGAGCCAUGCGACCCAACUGCAUCAUGCGGUAUUAGCAGUUGUUUCCAAUUGUUAUUCCCCAUCCAAGGCAGGUUA